CUUCAGUGAGCCCAGCAGCAGCGGCCGGUCGGACGGGCGGCCGCUGCCGUAGGUGGCGAUGAGGGCCUGGGCCUC
rfam:Streptomyces sp. Amel2xC10 genome assembly, contig: K375DRAFT_scaffold00008.8